GGAUGUGAGGGUGAUCAGGCUGCGACGUGUGUCACCCCAUUGAUUGCCAGGGUUGAUUUGGCUGAUCUGGCUGGCUAAGCUGGUGUCCCCUUCCUCCCUUACCGCUUCAAGUGCAUCCUUCCUGAAGCUGCACCCUACAUGGAAGAAAAGGACCAUCCCCGAGGAGGACCGAUCUUCGGUCAAGAAUAUAGGAGUAGCUGUGCUCCCCUUCUAGAAUCUUCAAACAAGCUCUCAAGCUUCAUUUGUAGGAGAACGUACAGUAGUCAAGCUUCCAAGACCUCAGACACAUCCAAAUGAGGCGUGGCAUGUGGCAGUCUGCUUUUAAAA
rfam:Macaca mulatta chromosome 20, whole genome shotgun sequence.